AGGACGAACGCUGGCGGCGUGCUUAACACAUGCAAGUCGAGCGGUGAUCCUCCUUCGGGAGGUGAUCAGCGGCGAACGGGUGAGUAACACGUGGGCAACCUGCCCCUCACACUGGGAUAAACCUCGGGAAACCGGGGCUAAUACCGGAUACGACCUCGAGCGGCAUCUCUUGAGGUGGAAAGCUCCGACGGUGAGGGAUGGGCCCGCGGCCUAUCAGCUUGUUGGUGGGUAAUGGCCUACCAAGGCGACGACGGGUAG
rnacentral:rRNA from 1 species